CGGACAAUAAGCCCCGCCGCGGCUCCCCGCGGAGGCGGGCGCCGGCCCCGCCACAGCCGAGCUCACCUGCAGGAGGGAGAUGAGUGAGGCGCGGGGGCGGGCGCCGGCGGGGAAACCACCCCGGCUGCUGAGAGGGCUCCGCUGCGGUCGCUCAGCGCCUCCGGACUCCGCUCACGCGGCGGCGGCUGCCGCGGAGGGAAAGCUGUCGGAAAACCACCAAAUUUUGCAAGAGUUGCCAUGAAGUCGGAAGCGGUAGCAAUAGUGCUGUCACGGAGACGAGACUUGGCAUCGCCCACUUUUCCCUUCACCUCCCCUCCCCUCCCGGGGAUGCUCCAGCCCAAAUUGUUUCUUCCUCCUGCAUAGAAAAAAAAUAAGGAUUUCACCUCAUCAUGAUUCCCCAGAGCUCCAUAGGAGAACUCUGAUCUUUCCGAAGAGAAGCCAUGUAUCAUAAGGACAAGGAACCCCAUCCUUGAAGCUAUUUUAUAGAACAGCUUCUGACUGUUAGGAUGAAAUUUCUGGUUAAUGCUGUCUACAAAUUAGUUCUGUAAAGAUAAAAGCAUUAGAAAUAAA